CCAAAUCUCUCCCCAAAGUGACUUACCUGAGAGCCGUAUUCAGCAUUGAUGCUGUCCAAUUGUUUCUUAUUUCCAAGUAAUAAUUGAUACCAAUACUUAGACCAUUUGAUAUCAAAUUUGGGUUGGUGUAGAGGAAAUAUACUGAUAAUGUCUGCAUAAGGGUUUUCUCCAGGACAGAUCCCAAGAGAGUCUUCUGUUUUAGACCCGGUAAUUUUAUCAUAAACUAGACGAAUUCGUUCACUAGAAUCGAUAUCUGUUACAGAGUUUACAUUCACAUGAUUUAAGUCAUCUAAAGCGCCGCAUAAAAAGGAACUAGUACGAUCAUUAUGCGCUAGUUCAAUAAGAUAGUCGUUUUGUACCUUGACAAACACAAAUAUACUUGUAUCGCUGCCUGGUCGAACUGCCGUAGAAAAGUGCGAAAGUUGUAAUUCUCUUAAUAAUGAACUCAAAGUUUCCUGGCA